AUUGCGGUAGCAAAGUGGUACUAAUGCAAAAGGCCUAAACCCUUUAAUCAGGGGUUCGACCCCCCUCCUCAAUA
rnacentral:tRNA from 1 species